GGUGAGUAACACGUAGGUAACCUGCCCCGGAGCGGGGGAUAACAUUUGGAAACAGAUGCUAAUACCGCAUAACAACAAAAGCCACAUGGCUUUUGUUUGAAAGAUGGCUUUGGCUAUCACUCUGGGAUGGACCUGCGGUGCAUUAGCUAGUUGGUAAGGUAACGGCUUACCAAGGCGAUGAUGCAUAGCCGAGUUGAGAGACUGAUCGGCCACAAUGGAACUGAGACACGGUCCAUACUCCUACGGGAGGCAGCAGUAGGGAAUCUUCCACAAUGGGCGCAAGCCUGAUGGAGCAACACCGCGUGAGUGAAGAAGGGUUUCGGCUCGUAAAGCUCUGUUGUUGGAGAAGAACGUGCGUGAGAGUAACUGUUCACGCAGUGACGGUAUCCAACCAGAAAGUCACGGCUAACUACGUGCCAGCAGCCGCGGUAAUACGUAGGUGGCAAGCGUUAUCCGGAUUUAUUGGGCGUAAAGCGAGCGCAGGCGGUUGCUUAGGUCUGAUGUGAAAGCCUUCGGCUUAACCGAAGAAGUGCAUCGGAAACCGGGCGACUUGAGUGCAGAAGAGGACAGUGGAACUCCAUGUGUAGCGGUGGAAUGCGUAGAUAUAUGGAAGAACACCAGUGGCGAAGGCGGCUGUCUGGUCUGCAACUGACGCUGAGGCUCGAAAGCAUGGGUAGCGAACAGGAUUAGAUACCCUGGUAGUCCAUGCCGUAAACGAUGAGUGCUAGGUGUUGGAGGGUUUCCGCCCUUCAGUGCCGGAGCUAACGCAUUAAGCACUCCGCCUGGGGAGUACGACCGCAAGGUUGAAACUCAAAGGAAUUGACGGGGGCCCGCACAAGCGGUGGAGCAUGUGGUUUAAUUCGAAGCUACGCGAAGAACCUUACCAGGU
rnacentral:rRNA from 1 species